rnacentral:lncRNA from 1 species
UCUACAUAAAUCAAAACUUGUGAGGCUACAAGUGUUUAAACUCUUAGAAAUGGUGAGUGUGUGUAUGUGAUAGGUGAUGAGGUGCUGACCUGGCAACAGCAGAUGUGCGUAUGUGAUAGGUGAUGAGGUGCUGACCUGGCAACAGCAGAAGAAUAAGAAGAGUGACCUGGCACCUGCAGAAGAAAAGAAAGAUUUCGGUUAGACUUGUAAAGAGAGAGAGUGUGUCAUAAGUAUAAAUAGAUGAUAGAUUGUAACAAAAUCUUUAUGCAUCUUGUGGUGAUGUAUCUGGGAGAGAUUGUAAUCGUUGUCCUUGAUCAAUAUAGUAGUGUGUACGUAUCAGUAUGGUCAUCUGGAUGCUUACGUUGAUUUUUUAUCACUUGUCACGUCGUUUUAAGUCUUCCGCACCA